rnacentral:rRNA from 1 species
CCUACGGGAGGCAGCAGUCGAGAAUCAUUCACAAUGGGGGAAACCCUGAUGGGGCGACGCCGCGUGGGGGCAUGAAGGUCUUCGGAUUGUAAACCCCUGUCAUGUGGGAGCAAAUUAAAAAGAUAGUACCACAAGAGGAAGAGACGGCUAACUCUGUGCCAGCAGCCGCGGUAAUACAGAGGUCUCAAGCGUUGUUCGGAAUCACUGGGCGUAAAGCGUGCGUAGGCUGUUUCGUAAGUCGUGUGUGAAAGGCGCGGGCUCAACCCGCGGACGGCACCUGAUACUGCGAGCCUAGAGUAAUGGAGGGGGAACCGGAAUUCUCGGUGUAGCAGUGAAAUGCGUAGAUAUCGAGAGGAACACUCGUGGCGAAGGCGGGUUCCUGGACAUUAACUGACGCUGAGGCACGAAGGCCAGGGGAGCGAACAGGAUUAGAUACCCGGGUAGUC